AGGAAUAUUGGUCAAUGGGCGUUAGCCUGAACCAGCCAAGUAGCGUGAAGGAUGAAGGCUCUAUGGGUCGUAAACUUCUUUUAUAUAAGAAUAAAGUGCAGUAUGUAUACUGUUUUGUAUGUAUUAUAUGAAUAAGGAUCGGCUAACUCCGUGCCAGCAGCCGCGGUAAUACGGAGGAUCCGAGCGUUAUCCGGAUUUAUUGGGUUUAAAGGGAGCGUAGGUGGACUGGUAAGUCAGUUGUGAAAGUUUGCGGCUCAACCGUAAAAUUGCAGUUGAUACUGUCAGUCUUGAGUACAGUAGAGGUGGGCGGAAUUCGUGGUGUAGCGGUGAAAUGCUUAGAUAUCACGAAGAACUCCGAUUGCGAAGGCAGCUCACUGGACUGCAACUGACACUGAUGCUCGAAAGUGUGGGUAUCAAACAGGAUUAGAUACCCUGGUAGUCCACACAGUAAACGAUGAAUACUCGCUGUUUGCGAUAUACAGUAAGCGGCCAAGCGAAAGCAUUAAGUAUUCCACCUGGGGAGUACGCCGGCAACGGUGAAACUCAAAGGAAUUGACGGGGGCCCGCACAAGCGGAGGAACAUGUGGUUUAAUUCGAUGAUACGCGAGGAACCUUACCCGGGCUUAAAUUGCAGUGGAAUGAUGUGGAAACAUGUCAGUGAGCAAUCACCGCUGUGAAGGUGCUGCAUGGUUGUCGUCAGCUCGUGCCGUGAGGUGUCGGCUUAAGUGCCAUAACGAGCGCAACCCUUAUCUUUAGUUACUAACAGGUUAUGCUGAGGACUCUAGAGAGACUGCCGUCGUAAGAUGUGAGGAAGGUGGGGAUGACGUCAAAUCAGCACGGCCCUUACGUCCGGGGCUACACACGUGUUACAAUGGGGGGUACAGAAGGCAGCUAGCGGGUGACCGUAUGCUAAUCCCAAAAGCCUCUCUCAGUUCGGAUCGAAGUCUGCAACCCGACUUCGUGAAGCUGGAUUCGCUAGUAAUCGCGCAUCAGCCACGGCGCGGUGAAUACGUUCCCG
rnacentral:rRNA from 1 species